rnacentral:rRNA from 1 species
UACGAAGGGGGGCGAGCGUUGUUCGGAAUUACUGGGCGUAAAGGGCGCGCAGGCGGCUCUGAAAGUCAGAUGUGAAAGCCCCGGGCUUAACCUGGGAACUGCAUUUGAUACUCUAGAGCUUGAGUACGGGAGAGGAGAGUGGAAUUCCCAGUGUAGAGGUGAAAUUCGUAGAUAUUGGGAAGAACACCGGUGGCGAAGGCGGCUCUCUGGACCGUAACUGACGCUGAGGCGCGAAAGCGUGGGGAGCAAACAGGG